CGCCAACGAGGAACAUUUAUUAAAAAAAACACACACUUACAAAUGAAACAAAGGCCCAAUUUAUUCCUAUAAACAAACAAAGAACGGGCCUAAAAACAAAGAAAAUACAGAAAAAAGAGCCCAACAACAAUGAAGCAAAACAAAAACAAACAACCAAGAACCAUCCACUGUGGUUGCCACUACUGAUUCGAGAAUCAGCCAGCCACUCAAUCCUCCACCCACCGCAGAGCAUCCCCUCCACAGGCGCCACCGACACACAACCAUCAACAGGAGACAGCCGGCGAGAGAGAGAAGCCAACCGUCGGAAAGAAGCUCCUGGAAAUUCCCGAGCAACACCGUCAGAAACGGAAGACAAUAAGGAGAAUGUGGUGGUGUGGGAGACACCCAAGCUGGAUACAACAUCGAAACUCUACAGAAAACAUAGCUGAAACUCCAAGCAAGGAAGGGCCAUGAAAAAGGAUACCCACGGGGGUUGAAGAAUUGGGAAAGUCAAAGGGGAAAAUUGGAAGAACCAGCAGCAGAUGGAAGGGGAGAAGAAAGAAAAAACAAAAACAAAAACAAAAAGCUACCCACAGAUCCCAACUGCAGCUAGGAUCGGUGGCAGCCAAGGGAAGCACGAUCGAGAUCACUCACACAAGAAGGUGAGAAGCACCCUCAUACAUUUCUAACAUAAAUUCAAUUUUUAAAUUUAUACGUGCUCGUUUGAAUGUGCUUGUAAAAUGAUUGAAGGAGGAUAAUUGUAUGAGCUUCUAGACUUUUUGCAGCUGCUUUCACGCCUUUCAUGCCGACCAUCUUACGUGCGUAUCCAUCCUUCUACUUUUCCUUUUUUCAAUUUUAUUUUUUUUGCCUAUUUUCCUUAGCUUGGAUUAAAAUAAGGGAUCUAGGUCAAAAAUUUGCCCAGAUAUUGAAUUUAGUUCAAUUUAUAUAUUUUUAACAUAAAUUCAAUUUUUAAAUUUAUACGUGCUUGUUUGAAUGUGCUUUUAAAAUGAUUGAAGGAGGAGAAUUGUAUGAGCUUCUAGGCUUUUUGCGUUUGUUUUCAAGCCGACCAUCUUAUGUGCGUAUCCAUCCUUCUAUUUUUUUCUUUUUUUAAUUUUUUUGUUUUGCAUAUUUUCCUUAGCUUGGAUUAAAAUAAGGGAUCCAGGUCAAAAAUUUGACCUAGUUAUUGAAUUUAGUUCAGUUUAUAUAUUUCUAACAUAAAUUCAAUUUUUAAAUUUACACGUGCUCGUUUGAACGUGAUUUGAAAACAACUAAAGGAGGAAAAUUGUAUGAGCUUCUAGGCUUUUUGCGGUUGCUUUCACGCCGACCAUCUUAUGUGUGUAUCCAUCCUUCUAUUUUUUUCUUUUUUUAAUUUUUUUUUGCCUAUUUUCCUUAGCUUGGAUUAAAAUAAGGGAUCUAGGUAAAAAAUUUAACCUAGUUAUUGAAUUUAGUUCAGUUUAUAUAUUUCUAACAUAAAUUCAAUUAUUUAAUUUAUACGUGCUCAUUUGAAUGCGCUUUUAAAAUUACUGAAUGAGAAAAAUUGUACGAGUUUCUAGGCUUUUUGUGGCUGCUUUCACGCCGACCACCUUACAUGCGUAUCCAUCCUUCUAUUUUUCCUUUUUUAAUUUUAUUUAUUUUUGCCUAUUUUCCUUAGCUUGGAUUAAAAUAAGGGAUCCAAGUCAAAAAAUUGACCUAGUUAUUGAAUUUAGUUCAGUUUUGUUGCAGUCCUAU
rnacentral:lncRNA from 1 species